UAUCACUUCGCAUCAAGACAGCGAGAGAAAUAAAUCUAACAAUUUCCUCAACCGCCGCCGGCAUGUCAUCCACCAGCGAGAGCAGGUACACCUAUGAGCAGUACAAGGAGACAGCUGAUUGGCUGCUGGAGCGUACGCAGCACAUGCCCAAGGUGGCCAUCAUCUGUGGUUCUGGACUGUGAGGGCUGGCAGACUUCCUGGAGAAUAGUGUAGCCUUCCCUUAUAAAGACAUCCCUCACUUCCCUCAGAGCACAGGCCGGUGGUGGCUGGCCCGCUCCAGGAGUCUGAGGUGCGGGAGGUUCUUCUAAACAUCGGGGGGGGUCCCGGCGUACUCCGUUGGC